rnacentral:rRNA from 1 species
AGAGUUGAUCAUGGCUCAGGACGAACGCUGGCGGCGUGCCUAACACAUGCAAGUCGAGCGAGGAGAUCCUUCGGGAUGAUCCUAGCGGCGGACGGGUGAGUAACGCGUGGGCAACCUGCCUCAUAGAGAGGAAUAGCCUUCCGAAAGGGAGAUUAAUACCUCAUAACAUUGCAGUUUCGCAUGGAACAGCAAUUAAAGGAGUAAUCCGCUAUGAGAUGGGGCCCGCGGCGCAUUAGCUAGUUGGUGAGGUAACGGCUCACCAAGGCGACGAUGCGUAGCCGACCUGAGAGGGUGAUCGGCCACAUUGGGACUGAGACACGGCCCAGACUCCUACGGGAGGCAGCAGUGGGGAAUAUUGCACAAUGGGGGAAACCCUGAUGCAGCCAACGCCGCGUGAGUGAUGACGGCCUUCGGGUUGUAAAGCUCUGUCUUCAGGGACGAUAAUGACGGUACCUGAGGAGGAAGCCACGGCUAACUACGUGCCAGCAGCAGC